rnacentral:rRNA from 1 species
AGCGAACGCUGGCGGCAGGCCUAACACAUGCAAGUCGAACGAACUCUUCGGAGUUAGUGGCGGACGGGUGAGUAACACGUGGGAACGUGCCUUUAGGUUCGGAAUAACUCAGGGAAACUUGUGCUAAUACCGAAUGUGCCCUUCGGGGGAAAGAUUUAUCGCCUUUAGAGCGGCCCGCGUCUGAUUAGCUAGUUGGUGAGGUAAAGGCUCACCAAGGCGACGAUCAGUAGCUGGUCUGAGAGGAUGAUCAGCCACAUUGGGAAUGAGACACGGCCCAAACUCCUACGGGAGGCAGCAGUGGGGAAUCUUGCGCAAGGGGCGAAAGUCUGACGCAGCCAUGCCGCGUGAAUGAUGAAGGUCUUAGGAUUGUAAAAUUCUUUCACCGGGGACGAUAAUGACGGUACCCGGAGAAGAAGCCCCGGCUAACUUCGUG